rnacentral:lncRNA from 1 species
AAAAAAUCACCCUAACUUCACUCAAAUCCCUAAUUUUUUUGAGUUGUCCCUCUAUCUCCCUCUCUCCCUCUCGUCUUUACUCUUCUCAAAAUUUCUCACUAAAAUACCACCCUUUUGCAACUGUCCCCAAAUAAACAACCCUAAUUUCAUCUCUUCUACAGUUACUAUUUUAAAUUUGCAGCUGCCGCUCUUGACGAGUGAAGAAACGCAAAGUGGGAUUGAAGACAGAGAAAAUAGUUAAGUAAAUCCCAGUUCAAACCACGAAGAACAACUGAAAAAUUGAAGAUUUGAAAGUUUGGGUUCACGUCUUCCAGAAACAUAAUAAAGCAUUUGACACUUUUGAUUUUGAAAGGCUUGGAUUCUUAAAGUGAGGUUUUUUUUUUUAUUUCUUUAAUUUGUUUAAUUCGUUGAAAAUAAUGAUGGUUCAUUUAUUUCGGGAUAGUUUAAGUGAAUGGGAUCUUUUUUUUUCAAUUUCUUUUCAUGAUUC